ACCGAACUCCGGGCUCUGAAUGACUGAGAGGAGCCGUCCGGCUCGGCCCCAAGCAGGACACUUGUUGAUUGGUUGGAUAGCCAAUAAUGGGCGGGAUUACUGCAGCGGUGCGCACGGAGAUUGGUGGGCCACGCAAACAGCAAAGGAGGAAAACCUAGAAGAAAUUCAGGUUUUCUGUGGAUGAAGCAACCCGGGGUCGGACUCUGCUGCUCCCUGGCGGUAGGUGGGAGUUAUUGCAUCACUGGCCAACUGCCCCUGCUGCCCCGAGAGCCUGGCCUUGUCUUUCUUCACAAUGGAUGCCCAGGAGAUGGCAAAUCUCCAUCCGCCUUGGAGGAGGAAUCUCCUCUACAAUGACUCUGACAAGCGACUUUUUGAACUCGUCCAGUUAGCGGGAAUCACUACUCUACAGGGGACUAUUCUCAUUUUUCCACUGCUGGAAUUAUUUUUAAAAAAACAAAAAAAAAUGUUGCUGCCAUCUGGGGCCCUGAAAUUUUACCCAGGAUAGUAAUUAUAUAAUAAUAAUAAUAACAAUAACAACAGAACUAACAAAUUGAGCAUUUACUAUGUGCCAGAUGAGAAAACUGAAGCCCCAGAGAGUUUCAGGAAUUUGACCAUGAGUUGACUGAUGGCCGGUCAUUUGAAACCAAGCAGCCUGACUCCAGAGUGUUUAACAAAACAGUAUUGUAUUCUAAGUUACACGGAAGGUUACCGCCUCUUUACAUAACCAUCCUCAAGCCCCUCAGCUGGGUUACACAGUUGCAGAGUUUCUUAAUUUCUCAUCAUAGUUCCUGAUUUCCAGGUUCUAUGAGUCACCCACCCCUGGGGAGGCAAGUGCUUAUCUGUGUCCUUCAUAGAAGGUGGGGAAGGUGGGGAACUACAUCUGAACACAGUGUCUUAGCUGUGAUGUGACUGGUUCAUAUCCUCAUUUGAACAAUGUGCUUCUAGUGAUGCAGACUAAUUAUAAUUAUGAAAAUUGUUAACCCUUGUUGAAUUUGCUUACGUACCAGGCCCUGUGCCAGGUGCUUUCUGGAAGAGCCACAUGUGGAAGGUAUUUCUGUAACCCUUUUGCACAUGAGUAAUCUGAGGCUUAGAGAUGUUGGUUAACUUGGCCAAGCGCGCACAGCUAGUAAGUAGCUGGGCUGUGAGCCAAGGUCUCGCUCAUUCCAAGCCUAGGGUACUUAGCCAUGAAGAUGUUAUUUCCCUCCCUCUGUCCCCACCUACCCCUGACACACACAUUUGGUUCCAGCAAAUAAAAAGGAAUAAAUGCACUGACAAUUUACCCAGACAGCUCUGAAGCAGUGCCUCCGCCUCCUCUCCCCAGCUUCUGGGAGCUGCCAAAUCUACCCUUUCCUACAAUCACAGCCCUGAUUAAACCCUUCCUGUUUGCACUCCCAUUUCCCACACCACUCCCUGUCAGUCUAUCUAGCUCAUCCCAGUUGAUUCCUUUCCUUGCUUCCCUGCUGUGCCUCUCAGCCAUCAGUCACCUGCUUCUCCCUCCCAGCAACUUCUCUCAAUCCAUUGCUCUCCAGUGUUUCUGGUGGCCUGGCCCCUGGAGACAAGGCUCCAGCAUUUGCUCCUUUCAGGUUGAACUUUUCUCAGUCCCUUCUCCUUGCUCGUCUUUCUUUGCUCCCUCCACUUGUCAGGGAAGAACUUCCCACAUCUCUACCCACCACCCUAAGGCCCCUUCCUUGCCUCCCUGAGAUUCAGCUCAAAACCCACCUUCUCCAGAGGGAAGACAUUUCUGGGGGAGACAGAGAUUCUUUUCUCUCCUGAACCCCCCAACAGUGAGUGAUUCUGCCCCUGGUGUGGGUCUCUACAGGGGCAGAAAUGCAUCCAUCAAUCCACCUUUGUAGGAAUUCCUCCCCCUCCAAUGCUCUGCCCCUGGCUUCCAACAGACCCUGAGUGGGGAGGGCCCAGGGUCCCUGCCUUGGGCUGUGUUCUGUUGUCAAGGGUACUAUUUAAUUUUCUGUUUUGGGCCCAGGGAGCCUCAACCUGAAAGGAAAAAUCUUUUCAGCUGGUUUCUUCACCAGGAUCCCUGCAACUUAACAAUGUCAGCCCCCUGCAUGGGGCCCCCGGCCCCCAGCCCCCGGGUACACUGAGCUGCUUUUCCUUUCUCUUCUGUAAAAUGUUACCCCAUCUUCAGGGAGAUGUAGGCUCUUUCUGUACUCCCAUCUCACCUUGUAUAAAUACGUGCUCCCAGUAUAGCAGUUACUUUAUUGGAUUGGGGUUACCUGUUUGUGUCAGAGCUGAAACGGCAUCAUCCCAUCUUUGCAUUUCGCACAUGUAGCGUGGAGCCUGACACACAGUGCUCAAAAAUGCUUAAAUGGAUGAAAAAAAAAUCAGUGAGUAGAAUGCAUAGGCAGGACUGUGAAGGUACAUUUCUGGGAGUGUAGGCGAGUCUCCAGGACUAUGUAAACAAUGUGUGUUUGUGUGUCUUUUUUUUUCCCCCUUAAACCAGCAAAAUGAGUUUAUUAAAGAAUAGUAGAGAACUGCAAUUUCAGACAAGCAAAUUGUGGCAAAUCAUAGGCAAGCCUGGAGAACAGAGGAGAGAGACUUGCUUUUAUAGAGGAAAGGAGGAACUUGAGGGCUCUGAUGGCUCUUCAUUGGCUGCAGGCAGUGGGCAGCUUCUUGACUGACCAUUCCAGGAGCACAUCGAGACUUCAUGUUGGCAGGUGGGGGGUGGUGGUGCCUUGGAAGCUAUGACCAGGGGAGUUGGAGAUGGAGACGGAGUUGGGGCCAGGCUUUGGUUUUGGCAAAGCUGUUCAGCAAAGGCAGGUGGGAGCAAAACCAGAGAAGAGGGAGCACUCAGUCUUCCAAACUAGACCACAUAGGUCCAUUUUCCAGGGCAGAUGGAACAAAUACAGUGAAUCUAUGGAGCACAGCAAUUGUGAAUUUCUGUACCUCUCGGCAUCUCCCCAACCUCCUGGCUCAUCCUCCAACUGCCUAUAGACCAGUGCUUCCCAAAGUGUGAGCCACAACUGAGCAGCUUCAGCACCACCUGGGAGCUUGUGAGAAAUGCAGACUCUCGGGCCCCGCCCCGGACCUGUGAGAUCCCAGGUAGUUCACACGCACACCUGUGCCUGAGAAGCCCUGCUGUAAGCCCGGUUUGUCCUGCAGCUGUGUUUUCCCUUCUUCCUGACAGUCAUCGGGAGCACCUCCAACACAGCCUGGUCACAAGCGGUGGUGCCUGACAUCUCCCGGUGUCUCCUCUCGAGCUGAGAUGCUUUGGCUGAGCAGGGCUGUCCUUGGGCAGAGGAGCCAAUUAGUAAAAGGAGAGGCUUCAAAGAGGCCUAACUGGCCUGAGUAAAAGCCCGAGGUCAAUUACGAACACUUAACAGUCCCUGGUUGGAACUUCACCUACAGGUUAGGAAGAUAUCCAAGAAAACUACGCUUAGAUGUGCAUUGUGACUUUCCUGCUUUUAUUCCAAGGAAGGGCUUGGCUCCCAGACUUCCUUUCUGUAGGAACUCUUGAAAUGUCACUUUCCACUCUACCUUUAAAGUAAGUUCCAGGCUUGGCUGAAAUUGUCUGAUUUAUCAUCCUUCAAUUGAAGUGCGCCACCCUCCCUGCAGUUUGGGGAUAAGAGGGACAAAGCCAUGGACCACCUCCUGUCACAUCCCCUCAACCCCCCAGCAGAACUUCUUCCCACCCAGAUCCCAUCCUUCUGGAAUCUCCUUAGGACUCAUCACCUCCCUGGCUCUCUGGACUGGCGUCCACUAUUCCAGCCCCUACACACGUCCCCUCUGUGCAGCUACAGUGACAUUCAUAGAGCACGACUUAUUUCCCAGUUCUUCAGUAACUCCUUAUUGCCUUCAAGGGAAAAAAAAAAUCCAACAGUUACAGACUAGCAUAAAGGGCCCUCCAGGAUGAGGCCUCUUGCUUCUCUCUUCAGCCUCAUCUUACCUCAUUCUUUGCCACAAUGUGUCCCAUCACACUGAACAACGUUGGGAUGCUCAGAAGCAGAGCUCUCUCACGUGCCUUUGCACAUGCUGUUCCCUUCACCUGUCCCGUUCUUACCUUCACCCUGAAGCAACUCCUCACCUCCCUCAAGAUUCAGUUUGGAACACGUUGGUCUCUCUCUUGGAAGCCUUCCCUGUGCCCUUACAUUUGAUGUUUUAUAUCUCUCUUCUGAACUUCUGUGGCAUCUCUAAUCAAAACAUUUAAUACAUUAUAUAUUUAAGACAUUUUAAAGUAUUGCUUUAUUAUACAAAUACUGUAUUUUCAUUAUAAAAGCAUUUAUAUAUACACAAAAAGAAAAAUGAUUACCUAUUACUUAUUUAUAUUAGUUAGUGUUCAAAGAGAAGACGCUCUAUGUUUUCCAAGGAUGAAGGAAAGUGACACAAGACAUGAGAGGCUGACACACCUGUUAGAUGGGCUGCAGUAGCAAAGGUCCCAGGUGACCUUAGCCUGUGACGUCUAAGUGAGAGGCUCUCCAAGACCUUGCCUGGAAGCCACUCCACUAGAAAGCCCAAGAACUUCUGGAAUGUUCCCACCAGUUAUCUCAGUCUGUGGCAGUAAUGUGGGGAGUCUCAAGAGAUUCACCUGGACACUGUUUUGAACCGCUCAUCCGCUUAUGCAUUUGCCUGUCUCUGGAAAAGGAUGGCUUCUUCUCUCUUUUGGAAAUAUUGCUCCCAGCAUCUCCUCUGUGGUGCAGAGAACUUCACGAUGAGGUGCAUUGAUGCUAAGCUUACAACGGACAACUCUCCUAAAGAUAAGCACAUUUUGGUGCAUCAUCUUUCUUAUGUAUGUAUAGUGUGUGUGUGUGUGUGCGUGUGUGUAAGUGAAUAAUCUACAUAUAAAACUCUCUUUACUGUGCGCUCUCUCUGUAUAUCUAUAUGUUUUCUCCCCACUGGCUCCUUGAAGGUUUAAUGAGCUUGCUUCUCUACUUUUUAGAGCAAUGAUUCCCAGAAUUGGUUUGAUGACACCCUGGAGUGUCUUCAUUUAUCUCAGGGGGUGCCUUGAAAUUCACAAAACAAGAUUAAUUUAAAUUCAUUUUCAUUUAAAAAAGUAAACAGACAUUAUAUAGUAAUCACAGGUACAAGUGUGUGUGUUGAAAUCAAACUAAUAAAUGCUUGCCUUAGAGAGAAAUCAAGAGGACGGGGGUGGGGUUGGAAGGGACCAGAAAGGUGGUUUACUUAGAAUCUUUCUAAAAUAUCCCCUCUAAUUACUUCUAGGUUGGUAUUCCCCCCAAAUUAAUCACGUUUUUCAAAUUGGAAGUCGGGGCUGUGGGGGCCAAAAGCUCCAGUGUGCACGUCUAUCUUCCAUGCCUCCUAUGAGGCUUGGCGUGUGGAGGUCUCAGGACAUUUUGAUGGACUGUGUGUUGGUGCAGGAUGUAGUGCUGGUGGCUGAGAAGGGCACACGGCACAUGCGAGUUUCAGCUCUGUAGGAUUGGAGGCCAUGAGAUGGCUUCAGAGACCGUGGUCUGGGUACCAUCCCCACUCAAGUUCCAGGAGAAUGUAGAUGCCCCAACGGUCACAGAGAAAAGAACCUAGGCCGAGAUUCACUGGCCUUAAAUGACUGGCCAGAAGCUUCUGUAACUGCCUUUCUGUUAAUUUGUGCAAAUCAUCAGAAAGCUAGAUAUGUCAGCCAACAGCAUGAGUGUAUAAACGUCAGUGACUUGCUGCUGAAGGUAUAGCCCCAAGGUCGUAGAUGCAGGAAAGAAUUUUGAGUUCUGCAUGAGAUCGGUAUUUUGAAGCAACAGAGCUGGUGGAGGUGGUUUCAAAUCCUCAGUCUGCCAUUUAAAGCUACAUAACCCUGAAUAAACUGCUUUACACCCCAGUGCCCCCCUCUUGUAAAGUGGAGAUAAUGCUAAUGCCAACCUCAUAGGGUUGUGAGGAUCCAAUGAGUUAACCCAUGUAAAGUGCUCUGAACGAUGCUCAGCAGAGCAAGGGCACCAGUGAACGCUGCCUCUUGUUAUCAUCAUCAUCACAGUAGGCGCUACGGACCUACCAGGUCUAAUUGGUAGUCGAUGUUUCAAUUAGAGAGUAACGGGGUAUCCAUUCCUCUCUGCCCUCAGAGCGGAGUGCUGUAGCGACCCUCUCUGGUCCCAAAGAAUACAUUCAAGACUUCCUCCAGUUGUCCCCUAGGUUGGGGUAGGAACAUCAUUUGCAGUACUAAGUCUGGAAACUUAGGCAGAAGGUUAAUAGUAUAACAAGGAAGCAAGCAAGCAAACAAAGCAGAACAGAAAACCACCACUUGCAAACAAAAGUCUCAGUGAAUCCCCCUGUCACACCUUGAUGGGAUAUUCUGCUUCAUGGGGGAAAAACAGUGCAAAUGUGUCUGGAUUCUUAGACUCACAAUUGGUAGCAAGCAGGGGAAGAAUGUGUCUUUUAGCAGAGUUUUAUGGCUUCUCAAUCCUUGAAGGUAAGACAUCAUGAAUCAAGAGAAAGUUUCAAAAUGUGUUCGUCAUUGCCCACUCCUAUUGACGAAAAAACCCCAACCUCUUUUGGAGAAAAUGAUUGAUGAGGAGAGAACCUUUGAGGCUACUAAAACACGUUCCUGAUUCUCUUUAUUUUAGUGAAAAACUAAAUAUACCUAUAUCCCCAGAUGAGAAAGACAAAUCAAGUCUCAUGUCUGAUCUUAGCAAAAUUCAAAUACUGGGUUUGAAAUGCCAAUAAUUCUGUUCAAUUCCUUUUCUCUUGUGCAAAUACUGAAGAAUAUAUGUUACAUGAUUAUUCAGAUGUUCAAAGAGUUAUUUGGAUAAGAAAAUUUUCAAGUCCAUAUAGAAUUUAUUUCUAGGAUGGCUUAUGACCAUAACAGAAAAGAUUAAUGAGUUAGAGUUUUUUUUUGAAAUUCAUGAUACUCUAAAGACUAUCUUUGGUCAGAAAUAUAUUUGAUUUACACAAAUGUAGAAAUAAAGUGAGAAAAAGUUUUUGAAAAAAAGUUUAGCUUUGUUUUAUAGUAUUUUGGAUCUCCAAGGCUAUAGGAGUCUUAUCUGUCAUCAUCUAGGUGUUUCCAAACCUCUGUGCCUCUUCAAUUCAGUUAAACAAAUAGAUACUAGGUAUGCCUAGGUAAACAAAAUAUAUUGGGCUAUACACUUGAAUGAAGAUACAGAGAAAAGCACAUUUUACUUACACUUUAGUGCUGUAGAGGAUUGUUACAGCCAAGGCCCCAAUGAAACACACCUGCCAGUUUCCACACCCUUUUAUAAUCGCCUAUCACAUUGACACUUGCUUCAGCCAUGUGACUUGCUUUGGCCCAGCGACAUAAGUAAAUGUGAUGGAAGCAGUGGUGUGAUAAGCACUUGCACACUGAGACUUGUCCUCUUGGAACCCUGAGACCACCAUGCAAUGAAGAAACCCAGAAUUAAAUACUGAGUGGUAGGAGAGGCCAGUUGAGUUCAGUCUCCAAGGGCAAUGCCCCCAGCUGAAUGCAGCUGCAUCAGCGACCCAAGACAUCACCUGCAGAAGAAUGGUCCAGCUAACUUACGGAAUCAUGAUAAUCAUGAGGUCACUAUGUUUUGGAAUAUCUUGCUACAUAAAUGGAAAACUAGUAUAAAAAUUGAUAACCAGAAGUGACACACUGAUAUAAUAAAAACCUAAACUAGGCAGCAUUGGUUUUGGGACUGAGUGUCUGGUAGAGGCUACGGAGACAGCCAGCAGGGUGCUGGUGGAGCCUGGCAGACCUGAGUGGAAACUACUACUGGAGGUUGAUAAAGGGCAACCCAGAGUGUGUAAUAGUGACACGACUGGCAACACUGUCACCUCCAGUACCUUGGAAGAUAGAAAGUGUACUUAAUGUGGAUUGGCCUUAAGAUUUCCAUUUAGAACGAUGAGGGGCAUCAAUUAACUUUUUAAAAGGUAUAUAUAAUAGGAUAUGAGAAGAGAGAGAUGAACUAAAGAAAGAACUGCUCCAUUUGUCAGCAGAAUUUCAAGUACACAUGGAAGGUCCAGGAUGCACUGAGCUGGAAAAUAAAACCAUUUCACAUUUCCCGUCUCUUCAAUAGGCAGACGAUCCUCAGAGUAAGAAAUGACCUCAGGAUGCAGAUCAAAUCAAGAGUGAGGUUAUAAGACUUUGUGAAGACCACAGAAAGACUUUAAACGGUGUCUACCAGACUCUCUUAGCUAGAUAAAAGGUCUUCUAAGAAUCUUGAGGGCAUUUUCCCUUGGCACCUUGACAUGCUGACCAAAGUAGAGGCCUGUCUUAAAAAUAAUUGUUACUAUAGCUUUU